AUACGGAGGGUGCAAGCGUUACUCGGAAUCACUGGGCGUAAAGCGCGCGCAGGCGGCUUGAUAAGUUGGAUGUGAAAGCCUACGGCUCAACCGUAGAACUGCAUCCAAAACUGUCAGGCUAGAGUGUGGGAGGGGAAGAUGGAAUUAGUUGUGUAGGGGUAAAAUCCGUAGAGAUAACUAGGAAUACCAAAAGCGAAGGCAAUCUUCUGGAACACUACUGACGCUGAGGCGCGAAGGCGUGGGGAGCCAACAGGAUUAGAAACCCGGGUAGUCC
rnacentral:rRNA from 1 species